AUUGAACGCUGGCGGCAGGCUUAACACAUGCAAGUCGAGCGGGGGAGGUUGCUUCGGUAACUGACCUAGCGGCGGACGGGUGAGUAAUGCUUAGGAAUCUGCCUAUUAGUGGGGGACAACAUUCCGAAAGGGAUGCUAAUACCGCAUACGCCCUACGGGGGAAAGCAGGGGAUCUUCGGACCUUGCGCUAAUAGAUGAGCCUAAGUCGGAUUAGCUAGUUGGUGGGGUAAAGGCCUACCAAGGCGACGAUCUGUAGCGGGUCUGAGAGGAUGAUCCGCCACACUGGGACGGAGACACGGCCCAGACUCCUACGGGAGGCAGCAGUGGGGAAUAUUGGACAAUGGGCGGAAGCCUGAUCCAGCCAUGCCGCGUGUGUGAAGAAGGCCUUUUGGUUGUAAAGCACUUUAAGCGAGGAGGAGGCUCUUAAGGUUAAUACCCUUGAUGAGUGGACGUUACUCGCAGAAUAAGCACCGGCUAACUCUGUGCCAGCCGCCGCAGUAAGAC
rnacentral:rRNA from 1 species